GACGAACGCUGGCGGCGUGCUUAACACAUGCAAGUCGAACGGGCCCGCCCCUGUUUUUGGGGGUGGGUUGAGUGGCGAACGGGUGAGUAUCACGUGAGUAACCUGCCCCCUGCUCCUGGAUAACUGCUUGAAAGGGCGGCUAAUACGGGGUGUGCCGGCUGGUCCGCAUGGGCCUGGUCGGGAUAGUUUCAUCUUCGGGUGUUUCGGUGGGGGAUGGGCUCGCGGCCUAUCAGCUUGUUGGUGGGGUGAUGGCCCACCAAGGCGGUGACGGGUAGCCGGCCUGAGAGGGUGGGCGGCCACACUGGGAGUGAGACACGGCACAGACUCAUGCGGGAGGCAGCAGUGGGGGGUAUUGCACAAUGGGCGGAAGCCUGAAGCAGCGACGUCGCGUGAGGGAUGGAGGCCUUCGGGUUGUGAACCUCUUUCUCCGGUGGUGAAGGCCCUGUCCGUUGCGGCGGGGUUGACGGUAGCCGGGUAUGAAGCGCCGGCUAACUACGUG
rnacentral:rRNA from 1 species